UUUAACGCUGGCGGCAGGCCUAACACCUGCAAGUCGCGCGGAUGAAGGGAGCUUGCUCCUGGAUUCAGCGGCGGACGGGUGAGUAAUGCCUAGGAAUCUGCCUGGUAGUGGGGGAUAACGUCCGGAAACGGGCGCUAAUACCGCAUACGUCCUGAGGGAGAAAGUGGGGGAUCUUCGGACCUCACGCUAUCAGAUGAGCCUAGGUCGGAUUAGCUAGUUGGUGGGGUAAAGGCCUACCAAGGCGACGAUCCGUAACUGGUCUGAGAGGAUGAUCAGUCACACUGGAACUGAGACACGGUCCAGACUCCUACGGGAGGCAGCAGUGGGGAAUAUUGGACAAUGGGCGAAAGCCUGAUCCAGCCAUGCCGCGUGUGUGAAGAAGGUCUUCGGAUUGUAAAGCACUUUAAGUUGGGAGGAAGGGCAGUAAGUUAAUACCUUGCUGUUUUGACGUUACCAACAGAAUAAGCACCGGCUAACUUCGUG
rnacentral:rRNA from 1 species